rnacentral:misc_RNA from 1 species
GAUGAAGAACGCAGCGAAAUGCGAUAAGUAAUGUGAAUUGCAGAAUUUAGUGAAUCAUCGAAUCUUUGAACGCACAUUGCGCCCCCUGGCAUUCCGGGGGGCAUGCCUGUCCGAGCGUCAUUUCUGCCCUCCAGCCCGGCUGGGUGUUGGGCGCUGUCCCCCCGGGGACACGCCCCAAAGGCAGUGGCGGCGCCGCGUCGGGUCCUCGAGCGUAUGGGGCUUUGUCACCCGCUCGGGACGGACUCGUCGGCGCUGGUCUUCCUCCAGGCGACCCUUCGGGGCUCGUCUUCCUUCGGUUGACCUCGGAUCAGGUAGGGUUACCCGCUGAACUUAAGCAUAUCAAUAAGCGGAGGA